CUUGUAAACCAUAAGAGGUCUAGCCUGCCCAGUGAAUUAAUUUAACGGCCGCGGUAUCCUAACCGUGCGAAGGUAGCGUAAUCACUUGUUCUUUAAAUGAGGACUAGUAUGAAUGGCAUCACGAAGGUUAUACUGUCUCCCCUUUUUAAUCAGUGAAACUAAUCUUCCCGUGAAGAAGCGGGAAUAAAAUUAUAAGACGAGAAGACCCUAUGGAGCUUUAGACUACGCAACAAUUGCUAUACUUUUUUUAACCUAUGGGAGCCUAACUAUAUUUUUUCAUAUUGAUUGCCAGUCUUAGGUUGGGGUGACCGCGGAGUAAAAUAUAACCUCCACGAUGGAAGAAGCUUAAUUUCUUAACCCAGAGUUACAACUCUAAGUACCAAAAAUUUGACAUGAAUUGAUCCAAUUUUUUGAUCAACGAAC
rnacentral:rRNA from 1 species